UUACAUCGCCACAUAUAUACUGUUGAAUUGUGAAGAACUUCAGCCAUACGAAAGACUUUUUGACGAGGAUGUUUUGGCAACAUAUCCUAAUCUAUGUGGGGAGGAACUUGAAGGAAUGAAGGAACAACAUUAUGCAUCUUGGCUUCGAGACUACAUUCAGUCAUGCAGUGAUAGAAUUCCGGCAUGGAUCAUAG